CCGGCCCCACAGCCCUGGGCAUUAGAAGAGCCGUCUACGAAUAAGGUUCACAGGGGCUGGGUUAGGUCGAGAUUGCCUUCGGUGGGGUUUUGGUCCUGGCUGGGAGGGGGAUUGGGUUCGGUUGUGGGCUGGAUAGUUGCCGAAGCCUGAGGCUCCGUGAAUUCGGAUAAGAAGUCAGCAACGGCCUGUCCCCUCAUGGCCGGGCGGGGUUUGUAAUGAAGAUCAAACUCGCCCAGUUCAAUGGCCCAU
rnacentral:lncRNA from 1 species